rnacentral:misc_RNA from 1 species
UGACGUGCAUUUGCGUCGGUGUAGACCCAUCAUGAAAACGUAGAUAUGAUAAUUUUAUAUUUAAAAAAAAGCUAACGUGACAUAAAUUUGACAAAUGUCUAAAAGAAAUAUAGUAUCUUCUGUGUAAUAUCUUCUUCCGUGCACGUGUGAUUUAUUGUUUAGUCAAUUUAAAUAUCACUCUAAGUAAGAACUGUUAGACAAAACACUCGUAGCAUAAUUGUAUAUUUCAAUAUAUCACAGCCAUACAUUUUUAUAUUCUUUCAGGUGAUUCAGCUUACCCACAGAGGCAAACACUACUGAUGGAUGCACUGACUUUUGGAUGCACCUGUAGGAUCUCCAGAAGCUCGUUAUACCGCUUUACAAGUUCGAGCCCGCAACUGUAUAGAGCGGUGUUUUGGGCGACUAAAAAUCAGUUGGUAGUGUUUGUCGUCAAUGGAGAAACUGCACUACAAGCCAGCAGCGGCAGCUAAGAUCGUUAAAACGUGUUGUGUGCUUGACAAUAUAGCUAACAAAGCGAAUUGUGAACUGCCUCCGCUGAACCGACACGAAGAACAGGAGCAGCAGCAGGAGCAGAGAUUAGCGGCGGAGUUUGACGCCCGUCAGCAGAAUGCUGAUAUUUAUUUGGCAAUGGCUCCUGACAGGUGUUGGCUAAACAAAGAGCUGCAGCUGGGUCGCGCUGCUCGUCAAGCGCUUGUCCGGCAGUUAGCAAAUUAUUGAUUCUUCAUCGGACCAAGGCCGAUUUGUCCAGGACCAAUUUUCGGAUCUCCUGGGCUUCCUGGAACAAGGACUAGUGAUUGUUUCGAGGAGCUGUCAUGGUGUUGGCUCUUGAUAUUUUAUCGUGAAACGCAGAUUUAAUGAUGAAGGCGCGUCGGAACCCAAACGUCAAGAAUCGCCGACGUUCACAGAAGCAGCUACAAUGAGCGGAGAAUCUGAGAGCCAGGAAUGCGGAGCACCUUGCUACUACUAAAAUGGAGAACCCGGACCUGUUAGCGACAUGGAACUGACCAGGACCGUCGUGGGCUCCUCAUGUGCCACCCCG